UGUCAGGGCCCAGCCCCAACCUUUGGAGGACUCCAAGGAACAUUCAACGCUGUCGGUGAGUUUGGGAUUUGGAAAAAAACCACCGACCGUUGACUGUACCUUGGGAUUCUCA
rnacentral:pre_miRNA from 1 species